UGCCCGGUGGUGUAAUCGGUAACACACCAGCCUUUGGAGCUGAGAUUCGAGGUUCGAGUCCUCGCCGGGCAG
rnacentral:tRNA from 1 species